rnacentral:rRNA from 1 species
UGGGGAAUAUUGGGCAAUGGGCGCAAGCCUGACCCAGCAACGCCGCGUGAAGGAAGAAGGCUUUCGGGUUGUAAACUUCUUUUAUCAGGGACGAUAAUGACGGUACCUGAUGAAUAAGCCACGGCUAACUACGUGCC